rnacentral:rRNA from 1 species
GACGAACGCUGGCGGCGUGCUUAACACAUGCAAGUCGAACGGACAGGCCCUGCUCUUGUGGGGUGCUCGAGUGGCGAACGGGUGAGUAACACGUGAGUAACCUGCCCUUGUCUUUGGGAUAUCUUCAGGAAACUGGGGCUAUUACCGGAUAGGAGCUCCUGCUGCACGGUGGUGGUUGGAAAGUUUCGGCGGUGGGGGAUAGACUCGCGGCUUAUCCGCUUGUUGGUGGGGUAGUGGCUUACCAAGGCUGUGACGGGUAGCCGGCCUGGGAGGGGGACCGGCCACAAUGGGACUGAGAUACGGCCCAGACUCCUACGGGAGGCAGCAGUGGGGAAUAUUGCACAAUGGGCGGAAGCCUGAGGCAGAAACGCCGCGUGCGGGAUGACGGCCUUCGGGUUGUAAACCGCUUUCGCCUGUGACGAAGCGUGAGUGACGGUAAUGGGUAAAGAAGCACCGGCUAACUACGUG